GAAGGCAGGAGAGUCAGAGAUGUGACCAUGGAAGCGGAAGAAGGAGCGUUGCAGAACUGCGGACCAAGAACUGUGGUCUCUAGAAGCUGAAGAAUGGGAAAACAAUUCCUUUCUACAACUUCCAGAAGAAACGUGAUCCUGCAGACACCUUGAUUUCAGCUCAGUGAAGCCCGUUUGAGACUUCUGAUCUCCAGAACUGUAAGGACCAAUUUUGGAGCUCCCUGAGAAGCUUCCAGAAUGUACUGUCACAUGAACAAUGCCUUAUGAACAGCUCUCUGCUGAACAGAGCUGCUUGGUUUAUUGAUCCAAGGUGAAUGGACAACAUACUAUUUGGAAGUCUACAACCAUAAUUGAAGAUAAAAACAAGCUUGGUGGGACAAACUGCAUGCUGUUUUUCUAGCAGUCAUUGGAUAAUUGAACAGUAAGUAGUAAAAGCCCUUAUGUUUAGGUUUUUACUGGUCUAUGGGAGGUGGCCAAUGGACUGGCCAUAUGGUCAAGAAGAUGUACAGUAGAAAACUGGACUAAGAAUACCCUUGUGGGGAAUGGCCCUAGGAAAAACACUUGAACUUAAGGAACAUAUAAGGAAUGCUUCCCAUCCGAAGAACUCACUUCCAGGUUCAGAAGUUCUGACUUGAGCUGACCCAUGUUCCUGGACACAUAGGGCCAACUAUCUUUGCUCUGUGGAUGAUCAGUUCUGCCUGCCAUAUUCACCCCAAACAUUGCUGGGCUAUACAGCUUCCAGGGUCUGUUUAGGAAGAGCCUGAUCAUUUGAACAAUGAACAAAUUUUCCCUUUGGCAAGGAAGAGCCAAACCACUUACAGAAAUCAAGAGAGCAGCCACUUUUGUCUCCUCUUCUGUUCUUGUCCUCUUCUUGACUGGCAGGAGAGGUGGGGUCAUUAUGUGGCUAAGAGACAACAAAGGCUAGAGUGAGGCUUUUAGGACAAACAAAUCUGCCUGCCUGGGAAUCUGGCCCGCUGCUGUUGAAAGCCUAUUUUUUCUCAAGAUAAAUGCUUUUGCCCAACACUGUUGCAACUCCUUUUCAAUGCAUGCUGCCCUGUGGCAUGAACUCUCCCCCUUUUUUAAAUACUGCCAACUUCCUUUCUGGAGCCAAUAGCCUAUUUACCCAACAUGGCAUUAGGGAUCAAGAAAUCCCAGAAGCUGGCGCUAUGGUCCCUGAGUGUGGUCCCUUAGCUCAUUUCCCUUGAAAGCCUUAUGUGCAAAAUAGGAUUAGUUACCACCAGUUCCCAACUCUGUACAACCCUCUCAUUUCCCAAACUCCCUCUGCUAUGAGGGAAGAGAAAAUUUGAAAAGAGUAUUUCUAAUCAAGAAACUUUCCAAGAAGAGAGGCUGUUUUCUACUUCCUAUAUUCUCUACAGCUUAAGUAACCCCUGUUGCACUCAAUCCCCUGCCUGACCAGAACCAACCUGUAAGCAAGUGAGACUGGCAGCUGCCUGAUUCUGAGGACUCCAGGGCACUGGAAAUAUUCCUUAGGACUCCGUCUCUACCUAUUCAAACUGUGAAUGUUAAGACUUUGUUUCUCAAACUUGAGCACCUAUCAGAAUUACCUACAGGGCUUGUUAAAACCCAGAUUGCUGGCUGUACACAAUGCCUCCCCAUCCAGAGUUUGCAAUCCUAUAGGUCUUAGGUGUAGCCUGUUUGUACUUCUACUCUGCCAGAUGAUGCUGAUACCAUUGAUUUAAGAGUCACACUUAGAGAACCAAUGUCCUGAGGUAUCUACUCAAAAUCCAAACUUAGUUUUUAAGCACUAGAGAAAAUACAUGCUAUGAAUUAUAUGUGUAAAGCAGUAUAAAGAUUUCAAAUGAUGUCUUCUGGAAGCAAAGGCCAGUAAUUUUAUGAAGAAUAUUCAGCUGAGUACUAAUCAGUGCAUGUGUGUAAGAAAACUACCCAAAGCUGGAGAAAGAGAAAUCUGAAAGGAGUGGAUGCAACUGUCCUUGGUUUUCACACCCAACCAGGAGUAAUGCCUAUUUCUACUAAGGCUUGAAAAAAACUGAUUCAUGGGGCAUUGGUCAGAGUACAUAGAGUCUUGCCUCAGUAGAGGGAAUAGCUGUCCCCAGCCUGAGCACAGCUCUAGGCCCACCUUAUCUUAAAAAGCAAGAACCAAAAUGACUAAGCUGCUUUUAAGUAACUUGAACCAAGAACAAAAUAUAAAAGUAUUUGAAAGAAAAAAAUCUGGCACCCGGUAAGGUAAAAUUAAACGGUGUCUGGAAUCCAAUAAAAGAUUACCAGGGUUGUAAAGAAGCAAGAAAAUCGGACCUAUAAUGAGAAGAAAAAUGAAUGAAUUGAAACUGUCCUGAGGUUUCCAUGGGUGUUAAAAUGAGAAGCCAUAGACGUGAUAGUUAUUGAACUGUAUCCUAUAUAAGCAAAAGUCUAGGGACAUGAAGAUAUUUUUAAAACACUGAUUCAACUAGAUUUCUAGAAGUAGAAAACUACAACAGAUGAAAAACACUUAGAGGAGAUUAACAUCAAAUUGGACCUUGCAAAAGAAAAGAUUGGUGAACUUACAGAUAGUAGUAGAAACUCCUUAAAAUAAAACCUAGAAAGAAAACUAUUAAAAACAGCAUCAGCCUAAUAUACACAGUUAAAAUCCCCAAGGGGAAGAAGAACAUAGGGAACUGAAACAUUGUUUGAAGAGCUGUAUUUUCCAAACUUAAACAAUAUAUUCAGGCUUAAAGAGCUCAAGAAAUGGCAAGAAGAAAAAUGGGAAAACAAGAAAAAAAUAAAUGUUCAAAAACAGUGAUUAAAAAUGUAUUAAAAGCAAUGAGAAAGGUAAAAAAAAAAAACUUUAAAAACGUUAAAGGCAGAAGAAAAAUGGUACCAGAACAAUGUGUGGCUCUACAAAAUAAGAAGAGCCCUGAAAACACUAUAUAGGAGGAAAUUAUCAAAGGCUUUUUAAUUGUUGCUUAAUUUUUUUAGUGCAUCAUCCGGGUUUAUCUGGGUAAUUAGGAAUUAUCUAGUUUCCACCCACCCCCCACACUCAGCUUCCCCCACCAACCUAGAAAAAAAUAAGAGGUUGGGGGAGACUCAUGAGGAACAUGAAGCCAGCAUGCCCUAGUCGUCAACACGAAAUAGGAAAACAUUUUAGAAUCUUAAUAAACAAGGGCUAGGUUUCAUGAGAUCUAUCAGUCAUAAUGUCAAGUUUUAAUUUUAAGAAGCUACCCACUUUCUGGAAGGUUUCAGGUAUACUUUGUUACUUGGGAAAGUAUUUUUUCCUCCUCAGUUUCUUAGACUUAUUGUCACAUCAUCUUUAGCCAUUCAUAUUUCAAAAAAACUGGUCUCUCCAUUGUCCAUGCCUAAAUCUACUUUUGUGAACAAAAAUUAUUAGCUUCUUGUCAAAAAAACUACAGAAAAUCUAGAAUUCUUAAAUGCAGAGUGUUUUCAUGGAAAAGCAAAACAAAAGACCAACCCAUUCCUGAGGAUUCCUGAGCAUUUCUCUUAGGUACCCCUUCCCCAGAAAAACCUGAAUUGCAUGAACCAUCCAUUACAACUAGAAAGAAAUUGUGGUUUAUAUACAUAAUGGAAUACUACGUGGCAAUGAGAAAAAAUGAAAUAUGGCCUUUUGUAGCAACGUGGAUGGAACUGGAGAGUGUGAUGCUGAGUGAAAUAAGCCAUACAG